rnacentral:rRNA from 1 species
UAGUGGCGAACGGGUGAGUAACACGUGGGCAAUCUGCCCUUCACUCUGGGACAAGCCCUGGAAACGGGGUCUAAUACCGGAUAACACUGCGGAUCGCAUGGUCUGNGGUUAAAAGCUCCGGCGGUGAAGGAUGAGCCCGCGGCCUAUCAGCUUGUUGGUGAGGUAGUGGCUCACCAAGGCGACGACGGGUAGCCGGCCUGAGAGGGCGACCGGCCACACUGGGACUGAGACACGGCCCAGACUCCUACGGGAGGCAGCAGUGGGGAAUAUUGCACAAUGGGCGAAAGCCUGAUGCAGCGACGCCGCGUGAGGGAUGACGGCCUUCGGGUUGUAAACCUCUUUCAGCAGGGAAGAAGCGAAAGUGACGGUACCUGCAGAAGAAGCGCCGGCUAACUACGUGCCAGCAGCCGCGGUAAUACGUAGGGCGCAAGCGUUGUCCGGAAUUAUUGGGCGUAAAGAGCUCGUAGGCGGCUUGUCACGUCGAUUGUGAAAGCCCGAGGCUUAACCUCGGGUCUGCAGUCGAUACGGGCUAGCUAGAGUGUGGUAGGGGNAGAUCGGAAUUCCU